GAUGAAGAACGCAGCGAAAUGCGAUAAGUAAUGUGAAUUGCAGAAUUCAGUGAAUCAUCGAAUCUUUGAACGCACAUUGCGCCCGCCAGUAUUCUGGCGGGCAUGCCUGUUCGAGCGUCAUUACAACCCUCAGGCCCCCGGGCCUGGCGUUGGGGAUCGGCGGAAGCCCCCUGUGGGCACACGCCGUCCCUCAAAUACAGUGGCGGUCCCGCCGCAGCUUCCAUUGCGUAGUAGCUAACACCUCGCAACUGGAGAGCGGCGCGGCCAUGCCGUAAAACACCCAACUUCUGAAUGUUGACCUCGAAUCAGGUAGGAAUACCCGCUGAACUUAAGCGUAUCAAUAAGCGGAGGA
rnacentral:misc_RNA from 1 species